GAUGAAGAACGUAGCGAAAUGCGAUAAGUAGUGUGAAUUGCAGAAUUCAGUGAAUCAUCGAAUCUUUGAACGCACAUUCCGCCCCUUGGUAUUCCAUGGGGCAUGCCUGUUCGAGCGUCAUUUGUACCUUCAAGCUUUGCUUGGUGUUGGGUGUUUGUCUCGCCUUUGCGUGUAGACUCGCCUUAAAAUAAUUGGCAGCCGGCGUAUUGAUUUCGGAGCGCAGUACAUCUCGCGCUUUGCACUCAUAACGACAGCGUCCAAAAGUACAUUUUACACUCUUGACCUCGGAUCAGGUAGGGAUACCCGCUGAACUUAAGCAUAUCAAUAAGCGGAGGA
rnacentral:misc_RNA from 1 species